AUGUACAUACCUACAUCAUAUCAUUAAUGCAUUGAAUCCCAUUAAAACCCCACAAUCAUGCACGCUUAGGCUAGAGUAGUACUGGUAUGGGUGACCGCUCGGGAAGUCCUAGUGUUUUACAUG
rfam:Picea glauca, whole genome shotgun sequence.